rnacentral:rRNA from 1 species
CGGGGGGCAGCAGUGGGGAAUAUUGGACAAUGGGCGAAAGCCUGAUCCAGCAAUGCCGCGUGAGUGAUGAAGGCCUUAGGGUUGUAAAGCUCUUUUACCCGGGAAGAUAAUGACUGUACCGGGAGAAUAAGCCCCGGCUAACUCCGUGCCAGCAGCCGCGGUAAUACGGAGGGGGCUAGCGUUAUUCGGAAUUACUGGGCGUAAAGCGUACGUAGGCGGUGGUUCAAGUCAGAGGUGAAAGCCCGGAGCUCAACUCCGGAACUGCCUUUGAAACUAGAUCGCUAGAACAUCGGAGAGGUAAGUGGAAUUCCGAGUGUAGAGGUGAAAUUCGUAGAUAUUCGGAAGAACACCAGUGGCGAAGGCGGCUUACUGGACGAUUGUUGACGCUGAGGUACGAAAGCGUGGGGAGCAAACAGGAUUAGAUACCCCUGU